UACGUAGGGGGCAAGCGUUGUCCGGAAUCAUUGGGCGUAAAGCGCGUGUAGGCGGCUUGGUAAGUCCGCUCUGAAAGCCCGGGGCUCAACCCCGGGAGGCGGGUGGAUACUGUCAAGCUCGAGUCCGGAAGAGGCGAGUGGAAUUCCUGGUGUAGCGGUGAAAUGCGCAGAUAUCAGGAGGAACACCAAUGGCGAAGGCAGCUCGCUGGGACGUGACUGACGCUGAGGCGCGAAAGCUAGGGGAGCAAACGGG
rnacentral:rRNA from 1 species